rnacentral:rRNA from 1 species
GUACACGCCGUAAACGAUGAGUGCUAGGUGUCACGGGCUUUGACCCUCGUGGUGCCGAAGCUAACGCGUUAAGCACUCCGCCUUGGGAGUACGGUCGCAAGACUAAAACUCAAAGGAAUUGACGGGGGCCCCGCACAAGCGGUGGAGCAUGUUGUUAAUUCGACGCAACGCGAAGAACCUUACCUGGGCUAGAAAGUACAGGAAGUCGGUCGAAAGGUCGAUGUGCCCUUGGGGAACCUGUGGUUAGGUGCUGCAUGGCUGUCGU